rnacentral:tRNA from 1 species
UCCCUGGAGGAUUAGUGGUUAGGCCACAGCGUUCUCACUGCUGUGGCCAGGUUUCGAUUCCCAGCCAGUGAA